rnacentral:misc_RNA from 1 species
UUUUUUCUCUCCAAUUAAGAAGGUAUAUGUGUUUUCUCUUAACCUUUGUGAUUGACAUCUUGUUCAUAGAGACUAGGUCUCUAAGAAGGAUGUGAUCUUGCAUAGGUAUGACAUUGCAAAGUGUAUGUUCACUGUAAGUACCAAAUUCCAAAUGGGAUUAAUUUUGCUCAUUGUCAUUGAACUUAUUCUUAAUGUACUCAUUAAACUUCAAUUGGUUACUUAAAAGUCUCUGAAAAUUAAUUUAAAUAUCAGUAAUAGUUCUUUUUAUAUGCUUGGUCAAAUAUCUCAAAAUUUUGACAUAAAUAAUAAAAGUUAAUUUUUUAAAUAAGAUUUGCAUUAUUGUUAUAAAUUUUCAUUCUUUUCUCUUCCCACUUAUUGUCCCUUUCCUCUCACACAAACUUUCUCUACUACAUCUUAGUUCAGAUUUAAUUAAAAUUCACUAAUAAAUUAUAUAAAUCAAUGACAAGAGAAGCUUUAAUUUAAACCAUGGUUUUAAAAAUCGUAGGGUGAGUAACACAUUAAAAUUACAUAAUGAAAAUUGAUAGGAGCAAUCCGAUUUUUAGUGAUUAAUCUAUAGCAAGAUUCAAAAAUCAUAGGGAAAUGGCGAUACGAAAUUUGAUGUAUGUGCAUAUUUGUUGACAAUCAUAAAUUUUUGUUUUUUCCUCCCAUUGUUUGGUUUUGUUUGUCCUUGGGCAAAGAUGGAUGCAACUGAAAAGAACGAGUUCCUACCCUUUUUGGAGAAUUGAUGCACCUUCAGUUCUAUUCAUAGGAGGAAGAAGAAGAAGAACAAG